rnacentral:rRNA from 1 species
AGAGUUUGAUCAUGGCUCAGGAUGAACGUUGGUAGUAUGCCUAACACAUGCAAGUCGAGCGGAAAGUGAUAGCAAUAUUGCUUUUAGCGGCGAACGGGUGAGUAAUGCUUAUCUUACCUGCCACUUAGUGGGGGAUAAAAUUCCGCAUAUUAUGAGUGAUCAUGAAAGGGCUUUCGGGUUCGCUAAGUGAUGGGGAUAAGUCGUAUUAGUUAGUUGGUGGGGUAAUGGCCUACCAAGACAAUGAUGCGUAGCCAGUCUGAGAGGAUGAAUGGCCACAAAGGAACUGAGACACGGUCCUUACUCCUAUUUAGGAGGCAGCAGUGAGGAAUAUUCCGCAAUGGGGGAAACCCUGACGGAGCAAUACUACGUGAAGGAGGAAGGUCUACGGAUUGUAAACUUCUUUACUUAAAUGUACUAACCGUAAGGUUUUGCAUUUGAGCAAAAAGCGACGACUAACUAUGUGCCAGCAGUCGCGGUAAGACAUAGGUCGCAAACGUUAUCCGGAAUUAUUGGGCGUAAAGGAUGCGUAGAUGGUUCAGUAAGUUACUGGUGGGAAAUCGAGGCUCAACCUCGUGGAAGUCAGUAAUACUGUUGAACUUGAGCGCAGGAGAGGUUAACGGAACUUUAUGUGGAGCGGUAAAAUGCGUAGAUAUAUGAAAGAACAUCAAUAUGGCGAAGGCAGUUAACUAUUCUGUUGCUGACAUUGAGGCAUGAAAGCGUGGGGAGCAAAACGGAUUAGAUACCCUAGUAGUCC